UACGAAGGGUGCAAACGUUGCUCGGAAUUACUGGGCGUAAAGCGCACGUAGGCGGACUCUUAAGUCGGGGGUGAAAGCCCAGGGCUCAACCCUGGAACUGCCUUCGAUACUGGGAGUCUUGAGUGUGGAAGAGGUUGGUGGAACUGCGAGUGUAGAGGUGAAAUUCGUAGAUAUUCGCAAGAACACCAGUGGCGAAGGCGGCCAACUGGUCCAUUACUGACGCUGAGGUGCGAAAGCGUGGGGAGCAAACAGG
rnacentral:rRNA from 1 species